rnacentral:rRNA from 1 species
CCCUUAGAUGUUCUGGGCCGCACGCGCGCUACACUGACGAAUGCAACGAGCUUAUAAUAACCUUGGCCGAAAGGUCUGGGUAAUCUCCAAAUUUCGUCGUGAUGGGGAUAGAUUAUUGCAAUUAUUAAUCUUCAACGAGGAAUGCCUAGUAAGCGCAAGUCAUCAGCUUGCGUUGAUUACGUCCCUGCCCUUUGUACACACCGCCCGUCGCUCCUACCGAUUGAAUGGUCCGGUGAAGCGUUCGGACCGUGGCCUUUGGACGGUUCGCCGUCUGUUGGCUGCGGGAAGUUCGUUAAACCUUAUCAUUUAGAGGAAGGAGAAGUCGCAACA